rnacentral:rRNA from 1 species
GACGAACGCUGGCGGCGUGCUUAACACAUGCAAGUCGAACGGAAAGGCCCUGCUUGCGGGGUGCUCGCGUGGCGAACGGGUGAGUAACACGUGGGUGAUCUGCGCUGCACAUCGGGGUAUACCUGGGAAACUGGGGGUAAUACAGGGUAGGGGCCAUUCUUAGGGUGGUGGGUGGAAGGUUUUGUGGGGUGGGGGUGAGUUCGCGGCCUAUCUGUUUGUUGGUGGGGUUGGGGGCUGCCAAGGCGGCGACUGGGGGGCGGCCGGCGGGGGUGGGCGGCCCAAUUGGGGCUGGGGUUCCGCCCCGACCCCCACGGGUGGGAAGCGGGGGGAAUAUUGCCCAAGUGGGGCGAGCCUGAUGCCGCCACGCCGCGGGGGGGAUUACGGCCUUCGGGUUGUAAACCCCUUUCGCCAGGGACGAAGCUUUUUGUGACGGUACCUAGAGAAGAAGCACCGGCUAACUACGUG